UUCUAACAAGCAGACAGAAAGAGCAGACAGUAAAACAAAGGCUGUACCUGCGUUCGGGCUGAUGUGCCUCCCGUGGCUUCUGAGAAAGCAGAGAGAACAUAGCCAUGUGAAGGAAUUGCCCAUUCCAGCUAUGUUGAAAUCAGGGACAAGGGACCUCUGCUCCAGGGUAGAGCAUGAGUUCUAAGAGGUGUGGGUGGCUGCUUAUGCAGUGGAAAGCUGCAUUUAAUGUAUCUUAUGUUUUUGCCUCUUUUCAGCCAAUGGAAUUGCAUGUUACAAGAUUCAAAGCCACAGACUUAACAACAUUAUACUGUGCACUAGACAAAGCAAUGCUGAGUUUCAGUUCCAGUUGUAAGCCCACCUAGUUAUGUAACAUCAUUCAUGGGAAGGCCUCAGAUUUUUUUCAAGAGUGCUAUGAAAAUUAUGGCUUUACAUAGAAUAAAUGUGAAGGGGAAAAAUUCACCUUGAUACCACUGGCCUCUCUCUGUAAUGUUUUUCAUUGCUAUUUCCUCCUCUCAUUUUAUUUUAGUUAUAGGAUUAUUGUUUUAGAGACAAGAUCUCACUCUGUUGCCCAGUCUGGAGUGCAGUGGCAACAUCAUAGCUCACUGCCGCCUGGAGCUCCUGGGCUCAAGAGAUUCCCUCACCUCAGCCUCCUGCAUAGCUGGGACUAAAGGUGUGUGCCACCAUGCCUGGCUAAUUAUUUUAGAGACAUAGUCUUGCUAUGUUAACCCAGGAUGGUCUU
rnacentral:lncRNA from 10 species